rnacentral:rRNA from 1 species
GAUGAACGCUGGCGGUAUGCUUAACACAUGCAAGUCGAACGGACUCUUCGGAGUUAGUGGCGGACGGGUGAGUAACGCGUGAGAAUCUGGCUUUGGGUUCGGGACAACCACUGGAAACGGUGGCUAAUACCGGAUGUGCCGAGAGGUAAAAGAGAAAUUGCCUGAAGAUGAGCUCGCGUCAGAUUAGCUAGUUGGUGAGGUAAAGGCUCACCAAGGCAGCGAUCAGUAGCUGGUCUGAGAGGAUGACCAGCCACACUGGGACUGAGACACGGCCCAGACUCCUACGGGAGGCAGCAGUGGGGAAUUUUCCGCAAUGGGCGAAAGCCUGACGGAGCAAUACCGCGUGAGGGAAGAAGGCUCUUGGGUUGUAAACCUCUUUUCUUAGGGAAGAACAAAAUGACGGUACCUAAGGAAUCAGCAUCGGCUAACUCCGUG